rnacentral:misc_RNA from 1 species
UUAUGAUUCAGUUCUCUAUAAUUCUAAAAGAAUAUUUGUUAUUAAUGAUCAAUAUAAGAGAAAUAGUGUUCAGGAAUUGUGUAUUUCAAAGAAAUAAAGAAUGUGGAGGUGGAAACAAAUCUUAUAAAGACAUCAAAUAGUGUUGAAGAUUUGGAGCACGAACAAAGAGAUUAACCUGCAUUAGAAAAACAACUCAAAGUUGAAGACCCUAAGCGUAAAGGAUCUGAAAUUGAAGAAUCUGAAAUUUUGAUUUUAUUGACUUUCGCUAUGGUGAAUGAUGAAGACUUUGAAGAAAGUGUCAUAGAGAAUGAAGAACAAAAAAUUAUGGAGAUUUCAAAGGGAAUUGAAGAUAAACAAUCCAUGAAGACAGUGG